CAUACUGAGCCUUCUGCCCCAAAAUGGUCCCCUACUUAUCUGCCUGGCAAUUCCAUUUAACUCGACCCAAAAUGUUGAUUUGUAUUUGCUGAUUCUGAGUCAAGUCUUGCUAUUGUAGUGAUAUCAGAUACCAUUAUGGCCCAGACUCUGGGUGAAUAUACUGCCCUGCCAGCUAGAGUAAAUAUUGAGCACUUUAAGUUUUAUCAAGGUAAGCACACAGUAGAAUAAAACACUUCUUUGUGCAUCUGACUAGUGUUGUUUUUUACUAUGAAAACUGAAUAAGAGAAUAGAGAUGUACAGAUACUAUGCUUCAGUGCUUUUAUCACCUUGCUUAAGAGAAGAAAACAUGCCAGGAAAAGGUUUGCCUUUGC
rnacentral:lncRNA from 1 species